CCUACGGGAGGCAGCAGUGGGGAAUAUUGCACAAUGGGGGAAACCCUGAUGCAGCGACGCCGCGUGGAGGAAGAAGGUCUUCGGAUUGUAAACUCCUGUCGUUGGGGACGAUAAUGACGGUACCCAACAAGAAAGCCACGGCUAACUACGUGCCAGCAGC
rnacentral:rRNA from 1 species